rnacentral:rRNA from 1 species
UACGGAGGUGGCAAGCGUUGUUCGGAAUUACUGGGCGUAAAGCGCGCGUAGGCGGACCUGCAAGUCGGGGGUGAAAGCCCGAGGCUCAACCUCGGAACUGCCUUCGAUACUGCGGGUCUCGAGUCCGGGAGAGGUGAGUGGAAUUCCUAGUGUAGAGGUGAAAUUCGUAGAUAUUAGGAAGAACACCAGUGGCGAAGGCGGCUCACUGGCCCGGUACUGACGCUGAGGCGCGAAAGCGUGGGGAGCAAACAGG